rnacentral:rRNA from 1 species
GGCGAACGGGUGAGUAACACGUGGGUAAUCUGCCCUGCACUCUGGGAUAAGCCUGGGAAACUGGGUCUAAUACUGGAUAUGACCUUUCUCCUUAUGAGGUUUGGUGGAAAGUUUUUCGGUGUAGGAUGAGCCCGCGGCCUAUCAGCUUGUUGGUGGGGUGAUGGCCUACCAAGGCGACGACGGGUAGCCGGCCUGAGAGGGUGAUCGGCCACAUUGGGACUGAGAUACGGCCCAG